GAAAUCCCAUCGGUCGAAUUAGACGGUUCACGACCGAAAGUAAUAUUCAGAAUGAAAGCCGCGAGGCUGAAUCUCAAGCGGGAUAUUAACUGAACCAGCAGGCCAUAACGAGUGUAAACUUCAUCUAAUGAGCAUCGAAAGAAACAACUCCAGAAAGUCGAGCCCCUACGAGAAGGGUGAAGACCGCAGAGGAGAGACUAAACAAUCGUCGAGGUUUCUUCAAAAUUCUGGCGGUGUCAGCGGAGA
rfam:Verrucomicrobia bacterium RIFCSPHIGHO2_12_FTLL_41_10 rifcsphigho2_12_scaffold_422, whole genome shotgun sequence.